GAUGAACGCUGGCGGCAUGCCUAAUACAUGCAAGUCGAACGAGAGGAAGGAAAGCUUGCUUUUCUGAAUCUAGUGGCGAACGGGUGAGUAACACGUAGGUAACCUGCCCAUGUGCCCGGGAUAACUUCUGGAAACGGAUGCUAAAACCGGAUAGGUAGCAGACAAGCAUUUGACUGCUAUUAAAGUGGCUAAGGCCAUGAACAUGGAUGGACCUGCGGUGCAUUAGCUAGUUGGUGAGGUAACAGCCCACCAAGGCGACGAUGCAUAGCCGGCCUGAGAGGGCGGACGGCCACAUUGGGACUGAGACACGGCCCAAACUCCUACGGGAGGCAGCAGUAGGGAAUUUUCGUCAAUGGGGGGAACCCUGAACGAGCAAUGCCGCGUGAGUGAGGAAGGUCUUCGGAUCGUAAAGCUCUGUUGUAAGAGAAAAACGACAUUCGUAGGGAAUGAUGAGUGAGUGAUGGUAUCUUACCAGGAAGUCACGGCUAACUACGUGCCAGCAGCCGCGGUAA
rnacentral:rRNA from 1 species